CUGCCGCCGCCGCCGCUGCCCCAGGCGGAGGGCACGGAGGUUCCCACGCUCCGGCCUCGGGCCGGGGGCGUUCUCAGGCCGGCGUGGCCGCGCUCGCCACCGCCGCCGAGGCCAGGCUGUAAUUAGGGUAAUUGCGCGGCUCCGCGCCCGGGGCAAUGCAGGACCCUGGCUGCGCAGCGCUAGCCCGGGAUGGGCAGGGACAGCGGGGGCUGGCAAGUGUCGCAGCCUGGUCCUCCAGAGAGGUGCGGGAUGUGAGACUGAUUCGUAUGGUCCACAGCGGGAGACUAUCUGCCUCAUGCCGGCUCUGACAGGUGCUCUUUGCCAGCUGCAGAUAGUUUAAAUCUGAGGACUCUGGAGAGAGAAUAAAUGCCCAGAAGGCGUUGAGGAGCUCCGACAAAGAACGAGGCUGCUGCUGUUUCUCCCAUCGCUCCUCUUUGCUAUUGAUGCAGCGAGACAAGAAGUUGGAGAUCUCUUGAAACGAGGAUUGGACUGGCUCUAAGGAGCCCGACGACCUUCACCAGCAGGAAGCAGCUAAGAAAAUUGCACCCCCUCUCCCACUUACCCUUUCUCUCUCCUACCUGAUGUUGGAAGGGAUUGGGGUGGAGUAGGGAGAGAGCGAUGUAAAAAAUGUAAAUAGAAGAAUUUCUUUUUUAAAGUCUGCCAGGAGAUGACAGAUAAAGAAACCCUUCCACUUCGUGAACCAAUGAGCUAACUGGGGUUUCUUAUGAGUGCUGGAGUGAGAGUUGCUUAUAGGAGCAUGGCCAACUGAAACCCACCCCAACAUGGGCGACAGCUCACAAAGGCUGUAUCUCUAGAGCUCCCUGCCCACAUCAUACAUGGCUCCAUCAAAGACAGUCUCCUCCUGCUGCUCGAAAGUUGCCUAACACUUUUAUAGCUGCGCUCAUAGCCAGAGUGCAGAUAGCUGGUGAUGGCCCGAGUUUCCUCAGCCUGAUAAGUUUCAUAAGUUUAAAAAAAAAUAAUUAUGGUGCAUGGGUGCAUGUGUAUUUGUGUGUGUUGCAUGGGUGCAUGUGUAUUUGUGUGUGUUGGGGGGGUCCACACAUGCGUGCCCACACUCCAGGCAUGUAUGUAGCAUAGCAUGUGUAUGGAAGCCAGAGGAUAAUUUGGGGAGUUGGCUUGAAAUGUUAGUUCUCCCCUUCCCCUGUGAAUGCCAGGUACUUAGGUUUAUGUGAUCUUACCAACUAAGCGUCUCACUGACCCAAGUUAGUUCAGUUACGAUGCUCCUUCUCCCUCCAAGAGAGUGUAUCAGUUUGGAGGAAACAGCUAUACAACUCGGGAGCCCUGUAUGAAGGAGAAACUGUGGACAGCCCCUGGGGGUGCUGUGCCGGAGUUGUGGGACCUCUGUGGUGGUGAACUCUGCCUGAAGGGCCUAAACUGUUCAUCUUUGGGGAGGCCCUGCCUUUAGGGAGAGUUACCAGGACUGGGCCCCUCCUACCCUGUUUGCUCCGGGUGGCACCAGGCUCUUUAGGACCUGCCUGAUCUCAUGCAGGUAGGGGUGAGGGGUGCAAUUGACCUAAGCUGGGACUGGCUAGUGCUUCUGGGAGCUGAAUGUAGUGGCAGCAUGUCCUGACCAGCCCAUCAUACGGACUAAUCACCUUCUAUCUACCUGUUGUGUUCCAAAAAAAUCCAUAGCUAGCACUCCACUCCCCACCAUCUAUUUUUGGCUUUAAGGUAUCUAGUGAGACCAAAAUAAACUGAGCUAAUUCAAGGGUUGAGGUAAGUUAAGGAGGCCCGCGGCUUCAAUUUCUCCCAGCGUGAUGAGAAGCUGGGAGGGUCUGAAGGAGGGCGGGGCAGGGUUUCCAGGCAGGGAGUCAGCAGUGUAUAAAUCUGGAAAUCUUUUAUUUCUGUGAGUGGUUUAUUGAUUGUACAACAAAAUGACCACCAAGAGGAGAAGAUACUUAACAAGGCAUUAGAGGGAACGGAGCCGGAGGCUGACGAUGGCUCCUGGGGGAAGGGCUUGGAGGCCUGCCAUCCAAGAAGAAGCUUGGCUGUGUGGCCCUGGGCACACCAGCAACCUCUCUGGACCCACGUCUUCAAGUCAAUGGGAAAAUUAAGUGAAUUUAAAGCCACAGCUGGGUGUGGUGGCGCACAUCGGUGAUGACGGUGCUUGAUAGGUAGAGGGUGAAGGGUCAGAGCUGAAAGCUGUCUCUGGCUGUUGAGUUCCUAGGUAGUUUGGGUUAUAUGAGACCCUGUCUCACACAAACAACAAGACAACACACACACACACACACACGACCACCACCACCACCACAGGGUCUGGCAGGGUGAUAUACACCUUGAAUCUCGGCACCUGGGAGGCAGAAGUAGGCAGAGCUCGGUGAGGUCCAUGCCAGCCAGGGCUACAUAGGCAGUCUCUGUUCUGAAAGACAAAUAAGACUAAACUCAAAACAAAGCAAACCUUACAGAGAUACUUAGGGAGGCUUUAAUGUGCUGCUCUCUCCAGGCCUGGCUCAACCCUGUGUCACACUGACCCCGUCUCUAUCAUGAUCUCCCUGUAAUCUACCAGUAACUCCCAGAGGCUUCCAGAAACGGGAACGCCCGGGUUUCCAUUUUCUCCCCCUAGUCUGGCCAAGCACAACAUUGAGCUCUGGAGACUGCUUCACUCCUCGACAGCCCUCCUGCCGCUAUCUCUGCCUCCUUCCAAACUUUUUAUCUACCGGACAGAUUCCGGGACCUUUUUUUUUUUUUUUUUUCAUUUUCUCAGAACAAGUGACAGAACGCAAUCUGAAAAGAUGAUUUUUCCGUGGCUGGGAUCAAACACCAUGACCAGAGCUCCGUAGAGUGAGUUUGUGUUGGCUUAUGGUUCUAGGUUAAGGGUCCACCACGGUAGGGAAGCAUGGCAGCAAGGGACAGGCAUGAUGGCAGGAGGAGGAAGCUGAGAGAUUCCAUCUUUUACUUCAGAUAUGAAGAGGAGAGCGAGAGAGAGCACAGGAAGUUUGUGGGGCAGUGAGCUUCCUGUCUCACACUGUGGCUGAGCAAUAAAUGUCCCACAGCAUUAGAACCCACAUAAAAGGCUGGGCUUAGUGGUGCAAGCCUGCAAUCCCAGCACUCAGGGAGGCAGAGGCAGGCAGAACUCUGUGAGUUUGAGGCCAGCCUGGUCUACAAAGCGAGUUUGGGACAGCCAAGGCUACACGGAGAAACCUGUCUCAAAAAAAAAAAAAAAAAAAAAACAAAAACCUAAAAAAAAAGCCAAAGAACCCAUGUACAACACAAAGAGCAGAUCACAGUGCAAGCAGUGGACUUCAGCCAAUGAAGGCAUGUUAUAUCCUGUUGGGGUCGAUGUGCCGUAUCAAUGCAAGGUAUUGAAAGAGUGUGUGUGAAUAAGAUAGUGAUAGAUGGGCAGAUAGACAAUAACUGUGUGUGUGUAAUAUAGAUAGUGAUAGUUGGAUGGAUAGAUAGAGAUAACAAAUAUGAGUGUGUGUGUAUAAGAUAAUGAUAAAUGGAUGGAUGGAUGGAUAGAUAGAUAGAUAGAUAGAUAGAUAGAUAGAUAGAUAGAUAGAUAGAUAUGCUGGCUGGCCAACCAGCAAGCCCCGGGAUCUGUCUAUUUCCACAUCCCUAGUGCUGGGAUUCCAAGGGGACAUCACUAUGCCCAUCCUUUUAUUCUAUGACAUAGUAUCAGGGUCUCACUCUAUAACCCAGGCUGGCCUAGAACUCACUAUGUAGCACAGGCUUGUCUUGAACUUGCAGCAAUCUUCCUUUUUUACCUCCAUAGUUGCUGAGAUGACAGGCAUGUGCCACUACAGCUGGAUUUCUGUGGUGUUGGGGCUCGAACCCAGGGCCUCAUGCAUGCUAGACAAGCACUCUCCAAGCUGAGCCACCUCUCAGCUUGAUGGAACAGGAGGAACAAGAGCUGCCGCCUUGAUACAGAUGAUACUAGGACUCAGAGAGGGGACGGUAACCUGCUCUGGUUACCCAGCAGAAGGUGGCAGAGAUGGGCCGAAAGACUGUCCAUUCUCACAAAGGGGACAGAGUGGGAGAGAAAGAGACAGGCAGUCUGAAGCCUACCUUCCCCUCCCAGACCACCACCCUCCCUGCACCUUAGUGGCUCCAGUUCUGGUCUCCUGGGGGUGCUGGUGAGGGAGCCUGUGCUGCUCACUGAUAGCCUCUUUGGGAAGCUUCUCUAAGGGAAGCUUGUCUUUAUUUGGCUCCUCUUUCCCCCAGGGUCCCUUCCCCAAACAGGCCAACCCAAGCUUUCCAGCCAGAUCUAAUAACUGACUGCACCUGGCAAGGUGGAGACCAGCAGCAGCCCCUAUGAGCCUCAGGUCUCCCAGCUUUAGCGUAGGAAAAAACAUAGGUAUUGGAGAGCACUUGUAUUAGUCAGUCUCUAAAGGAGCAGAGAUGACAAGAUGGAUGUAUUUAAAGGAGAUUUAUUAGGUGGGUUUACAGGAUGCAGGGUAACUAGUCUAUUCAGCGGUAGGAUAGGUGGACUUGCAAGCAAGAGUGAAAGCAAGCAGUCAAAAAGCAGUUUCUGUCUUCCAAACCCUUUACCUUGGCUGCCAGCAAACAGCGCCACCUACAGUUGGCGCGGCUCUUCCCGCUUCAAAUAACCUAAUCAAGAAAAACUGUCAGUCAUAGGAGGGUCCAGCAGCUUGUGUUUUAGUUGGUUCCAGAUUCAGUCAAGUUGGCAACGAAGACUACCAAGGUGGGUUCUAGGAGCUGAACCCGGUCUUCUGGAAGAGCAGUCAGUGCUCCUAAACCCUCAGCCAUCUCUCCAGCCCGGCAGAAAAGGUUCUUAGGGAAAGUGUUCAUUGAUGUAGCCCAGGAAGAGAAGGAGCUGAAGUGUGAGAAGAGGGUUCAGGGGAGGCACGGUGCUCAUAGGCACGUGAGCACCACUGAGGGAGCCUAGGAGUCUGCACACUGAGACUAAGCAGAGAGAGAGAGAGACAGACAGACAGACAGAGACAGAAUGCAGAAAGGGCAGUGAGAAAAAACAAGGACCAGAGUUGAAGACUCAUCAGUUAAGAGCUGUGCAUCCCUGGGCAGGCUACUCAUCCUUCUCCUUGUUCAUGCUGCAGUGAAGGGUUAAGUAUGUCUCGCAGGGUUCCUCUGAGAAGCAGUAUCUAGCCCAUACCUAGGGCUUUCAGUGAGCCGGAUGCUCUGGCUGUAGUAGGAAGACAGGCGGUGAGUUAAUCCGUGUACAAGCAACUAGUUCACUGUUUCCAAUAAGCGUCAAGCAGGGAAAGCCCAAGUUAUAUGUUACAAGCUUGUCUGAGCUCUUCAGAAGUCGAGGCAGGAGGAUUAGGUGCUCAAAGCCAGCAGACCUUGUCUCACUACAUUGCAUCAUGGGAGUAUAAAGCCGAUGAGCCAGGCUUGGCCAGGGCUUCAGAGAAGGAUUCUCAGAGGAUACUGGGUUUAGGUCAAGAUGGGAAUGAAUAAAUCUUGGCCUGGUCGAUGGGGAUGUGAAGACAUUUCCACACAGCAGGAACAGCAGGACCAGAGAUGAAUUUGCAGGAAGGCAGAUGGGAGGGACUUGGCUAGGACAGGGGUCUGCACUCCACCGGGGGUGGGAGGGGGAGGAGAAGUGACUAGGAAGUCAAGAAAGGGACAGGACCCAGUGACUACUGGGGUGUGCCGGCGUGAGAAAGGACCUUGAUAGGAUGCACCCAGUGCAGGCAUCAGUCAGAGCUACCCAGGAUGUGUGGCUAGAAGCAGCUGCUCUGUGCAGUGGCAUGGCAGUUGGGCUGUCUUUCCUCUGGGAGCCUGAGCCUGAGGUUGCAGAUGGGGUUAAUCAUUUAAGGGAAGUAAAAAUAACACAUGGAGUCAGAUCAUACCAUAUUAAGGAUGUCAAAGUAGGCGAGGUAAUUAUAGGUUGAACAGAGACUUUGGGUUGGGGGGAGGGGGACACAUCACCUGAGAUACAUCAAAAAAGCCUGGGCGGGUGGUUAGUCCCUUUUUUGUGAAGAAGAGAUUCAAGCGGAGACCAGUUUUAGUACAAAGGAGAUAAAGGCCGAAGCGGAUUCCUGCACUGCCUUUCUUGGGACCUGGCGGGCGCUGAAACAGUUGACGGAAGUCACAGUCCAGACAUCUCCUGUGAUCUCUCUCAGGAGAUCCAUCCAUCCACUCAAAAAUAAACAUUUCCUGGUCGCUGUCCUUGGGGGAGUAAUAAUGAUCUGAGUCCAAGACACAGGCGGCAAAUGUGUCAGCGUGUAUUUGACAACAGAUCAAUUUAGGAAAUGAUGACUCUAAACUGGACAGUGAUAAGACUCUGCUUUGAGUGAUCCUCCCGGAAGUAGUGAUGACGCCUGUGUAGGUGUGCGUGUGUGCACGCACACUCAUGUGUACCAGCAGGGGCUUGCUAUACUGUACAUGUCAGAGGACACCCUGAGUUCCUCGCCUUGCAGCUUGCUUGCGAUGGUUUCUUCUUGCUUGCUGAUAUUAGCUGGUCUGUGAGUUUCUGGGAAUUCUCCUGGCUCUGCCUCCCUUCUCACCAUAAGAGCACUGGAUUAGAGACGUGCUCCCAUUCCUGGCUUUACACACGGCAUCUGAGAUCUGAGUCUGGGUCCAAAUGUUUGCACAGCAACCACACUGUCCACUGAGCCAGCUUCCCAGCUCUCCAUCUUGUUUUUGAGACAGGAUUUCCCACCAAUCUGAACCCGUGAAUUAGGCUAGGCUGUCCAGAGAGCCCCGGGGAUCCUCUGUCUCUGCCUCCGCAGGGCAGGUUUGCAAGUGUGUACUCCCAUACCCAGCUUUUUGCAUGCACCGGUGCUGGGGCUUGAACUUGGGUCUUUGUGUUUGUACAGCAAUGCUUUAUCAACUGGGCCAUCUCCCCAGCCCAAAGAAAACUUGAUUUUCAAUAAAAUAAUAAAUUGUA